UCCCUGUCUGUACCUGUUAAAACCUGUUGCUAUGGAGUUGAUUCCGACUCAUAGCGACCCUACAGGACAGAGUAGAACUGCCCCAUAGGGUCCCUGUCUAGUGCUCUAAUUAGAACGCUGUGUCAGGUGGCGGUCUGAAAGGCCCAGGUGUUCUGCUUUCAGCGACAGAUGAAGGGGGGGGACAACUGAGCGGAGGCGUUUCCGGUGCUUCGCGGUUGCCGUAGAAACCGACAUAAAGAUGGCGACCGUGACGACUUUUCAAUAGAGAAGGACAAGACCCGGUAAGAGGAGCAGGUUCCCGCCAUCAGGUGUUUGGGACUCAGCAGAGGAGGUCCUCCUGUGGCUCCAGCUCGUUGCGAAUUCUCCGGCUUCUCCCCUCCCGCCUUCUUUUCUACCGUUUUCCCCACUGCAGUCUGACCAUUUAUUUUUUAAAAUCUUUUUCUCUUCUAUAGCCCGAAAGGAGUUGGUCUCUGAGGGCCAAAAUGCCAUACUUCCUUGGGAACAAAGUGGAACAGCCAUGAGGAGCAGCCUUGUGGAUGGAGCCUCUGCUGCUGAGGUGACAGGAGCAUGUCCUUGUUCUUACGGAAACCUGAGGUAAGGCUACUGAGGCAGUGAUGGGGUCCUGUGGCAGGACUUGGUGGGGAGAAGGCGGGCCCGUGAUUCAGGGUCUGGGCCUCUCCUGAUUCCCCAUCCCAGUGACUUGUUGAGCUAGGUGAACGUGAUUGGAGAGCAGCAAAUCCUUCAUGAGGUCCAGGCCGUGCUAUGGACCCAGCUAAGGGAGGAUAAAAGUCACUGAGACCAUAGCCCCAAUUCCCUUGUCUGGAUAUGAAGUAGCUGGAAAUUCUGCUCUUUGACCCAUGAUUAAGUGGAUAUUUGUUGUUUAAUUUCCGUGUUCUAGGAGAUUUUCCUCUUCUCUUUCUAUUACUGAUUUGUAGUUUAAUACGGUUUUUGUCAGAGAAAACACUCUGAUCUCAAUUCUUUUUUAAAUUCAUUAGGGAUUGUUUUAUGACCCAGGAUGUAGUCUGUCUUGCUGAACGUUCCAUGUGCAUUUGAAUAGAACGUGCAUUCUACUGCCGUUGCGUGGAGUGUUCUAUAGAUGUCAGUUAGAUCCAGUUGGUUCACAAUGUUUACUUAUUCUACUUCCUUGCUGAUGUUUUGUUGUUGUUGUUGUGAUCCAUAGGGUUUUCUUUUAUUUUGGUGAAAAUAUACACACCAAAACAUUCACCGAUUCAGCAAUUUCUACAGGUACAACUCAGUGACAUGAUUGCGUUCUUCAUGUGGUGCAACCAUUAUCACUAUCCUUUUCCAAAUUACUCCUGUACCACUGACAUAAACUCAGUGCCCCCUAAGCAAAGCACUCCCCUUUCCCCCUCCCUCUCCCCCGUGGUAAUCACUAAUAAUCUUUAGUUUCUAUAUAUUUGCUUAUUUCAUAUAAGUGAGAUCAUACGGUGUUUGUCCUUUUGCCACUGCCUUAUUGAGCUCUGCAUGAUGUUUUCAAGGCUCGUGUUGUGGCAUGCAUCAGGGCUUCACUUCUCUUUAUGGCUGAGUAACAAUCCAUUGUAUGCAUGUUCCAGAUUCUCUUUACCCAUUCAUCUGUUGAUGCACAUUUCAGCUGUUUUACCCGUUUUGGCUAGUGUAAAAAGUAAUGCAAUGAACAUUGGUGUAUAGGGGUCAGUUUGCGUUCUACUUUCACCUCUUCUGAGUAUGUACCUAGGAGCGGGAUGGCUGGUUCAUAUGUUAGUUCUAUGUUCAACUUUUUGAGGAACCACCAAACUGUUUUCCACAGUGGCUGUACCAUUUUA